UCCACACUGGGACUGAGACACGGCCCAGACUCCUACGGGAGGCAGCAGUGGGGAAUAUUGCGCAAUGGGGGAAACCCUGACGCAGCAACGCCGCGUGGAUGAGGAAGGCUUUCGAGUUGUAAAAUCCUGUUGGGUGGGAAGAAAUGUAUAAUGGUUAAUAUCCAUUGUGCUUGACGAUACCAUCAAAGAAAGCCCCGGCUAACUCCGUGCCAGCAGCCGCGGUAAUACGGAGGGGGCAAGCGUUAUUCGGAAUUACUGGGCGUAAAGGGCGUGUAGGCUGCUUUAUAAGUUAGAUGCUAAAUCCCUUGGCUUAACCAAGGUCGUGCAUUUAAUACUGUAGAGCUAGAGUACAGUAGAGGAGAAUGGAAUUUCCAGUGUAGCGGUGAAAUGCGUAGAUAUUGGAAGGAACACCUGUGGCGAAGGCGAUUCUCUGGGCUGAUACUGACGCUGAGGCGCGAAAGCUAGGGUAGCAAACGGGAUUAGAUACCCCGGUAGUCCUAGCUGUAAACGAUGGACACUAGGUGUAGGAGGUGUCGAUUCCUUCUGUGCCGAAGUUAACACAUUAAGUGUCCCGCCUGGGGAGUACGUUCGCAAGAAUGAAACUCAAAGGAAUUGACGGGGGCCCGCACAAGCGGUGGAGCAUGUGGUUUAAUUCGAAGCAACGCGAAAAACCUUACCAGAGUUUGACAUAUACCUGACCGCAUUAGAGAUAAUGUUUUCUCUUCGGAGACAGGUAUACAGGUGCUGCAUGGCUGUCGUCAGCUCGUGUCGUGAGAUGUUGGGUUAAGUCCCGCAACGAGCGCAACCCUCACCCUUAGUUGCCAUCAGGUAAUGCUGAGCACUGUAAGGGAACUGCCGGUGAUAAACCGGAGGAAGGUGGGGAUGACGUCAAGUCCUCAUGGCCUUUAUAUCCUGGGCUACACACGUGCUACAAUGGUCGGUACAAAGGGCUGCGAAACCGCGAGGUUAAGCCAAUCCCAAAAAACCGAUCUCAGUUCGGAUUGAAGUCUGAAAUUCGACUUCAUGAAGGUGGAAUCGCUAGUAAUCGUGGAUCAGCAUGCCACGGUGAAUACGUUCCCGGGCCUUGUACACACCGCCCGUCACACCACGAAAGUUGAUUGUACCAGAAGUUACUGAGCUAACCUCACGGGGGCAGGUACCUAAGGUAUGAUUAGUGAUUGGGGUGAGGUCGCAACAAGGUA
rnacentral:rRNA from 1 species